UUUUCAAGGAACUUUCUAUUUUAGAGCAAGUGCCCAUUAAUGGGUCAUCUUUGCUUAGUUUUGAGGAUGAAUGGAACUACAAAGUGCCGACCAAUGAAGUUCCCCUGCUAAACGAGUCUCAGCGCAAUUUGUUGCUGCCGUUUUACUCUUUCGUCAAUGAUUUAAAGGUAGAAGGUAUAGGAGAAAAUGCGACCAACUCAACAAGACACUUCCCAACGUCCAGAGAUGCGAAACUAGCAGGCGAUAUAAUCAGAACGAAAGUUCCAUGCAACGUGUGUAAUUUAGGAGUAGGACUGCUUUAUGCAGAGGUAAAAAGUGGAGUGUCAAUGGAGGAAAUCAAAGCG